rnacentral:lncRNA from 1 species
AGCUGGUAAGCACAAACUCAGUGGUUUAAAACAACGUGAAUUCACCAUCUUACAGUCCUGGAGGUCAGAAGGCAGACUUGGUCUCACUGGUUAAAGCUGAGGUGUGUGCAGGGCUGGUCUCUCGUGGAGGCUCUGAGUCUGUUCCUGCCUUUCCAGGGUCCCAGAGGCAAUCGUGUCCUCGGCUGGAGGCCUGGCCUCAUCUUCAGAGUCAGCAGCGCCCACACUUCUGACCCUUCUUCUGUGCUUACUUCCCUGUGGCCACAUCUGACUGCUUUUAGAAACCUGCCCACCAAUAACCUCCAAUAACCUCCUGUCUCCACACCCAUAACCUUAAUGACGCCUCAAAGUCGCCUUUCCAUGUGAGGUGACACAGUCUCAGUUCUGGGAUCAGCACAUGGUCGCAGGUGGGGCCACUACCCUGCCCAGGAGGUCAGGCCCAUUCUGUUCCCUCCUGUCCUGACUUGCCCCCUGAAUUGGCUCACACAUGCCUGUGCCUCUAGGCUGGGACACCUUGUUCCUCCAGCUGCGGACCCCCUGCCAUUCAGGGCAGCCUCGGCUGUUGAGCUGAGAGUCUGGGUCAGAACGGGCAAGCCCCACCUUCCAGGCACAAAGGGGCCUCCUAUCCGGCAUGUCCUCUUCUCUCUAUACUGAACCUCAGAGGUUUCCUCUGCUGUGGACCUGCGAGGUAAAGGGGAUGCAGACAGAUGGAGACUAAUUCACUUCAGAAGGACCUGGUGAUUGUAUGACAAGUUCUGCAGCAGAAGAAGUACUGAGGGUGCCUUUUAGGGGAGCGAAAUCACGCCAUCAGUGCCGCUGUCUUCUGCGUUGACAUUUCAAGCAGUGUUCUUCCUGGUUAGGGUGAAAUUUGGCAGCUUUUAAAAGGCUACCAAUUUCUGAUUCAUACAUAUAUUCUUUUUAUGUAUAAAACCUCAUUCAGUAGAGCAGCAUGGAGCACAGCUGCAGUGCCUGUACAGAAAGCUGUCCUGAAAAGGCAGGAGGAGGAAGCAGAGGAAAGGCACAGCGCAAGGCAGCGUGACUUGGAGGCUGCAGGGCAGAAUGUGGGACGCGCUGAAGAAGGGCUGAACGGGGCUGAAUUCAACUUAAAGUAGAAGGAGAAAGAUAUCUUCUCAAAGACUCAAUGGGAAAGCACUGCAGUGGUGACAGGCUGUGGGCACCUUAGGAUCCACACAUUCUCCGUGGGCAGAGCGGUCUCUGAAUAACCAAGACUUCCCACCUGGCCGGCAGAUCUCGAUGACAAGCCUGAAACCUGCACAGAUGCUUGUUAAUUUCUGAAAGGGAGACAUGCAUUUUGUUAGAAGGGAGUGUAAGAGCAUCAGCAUUCUGAGAAGUGAUACUCUUUUGAGUCUAUUUGUCUUUAUGCUAAACUUUCAUUUAAUAUAAAUUCAUUUGUAUAUGUCAAAAAGUAAAAUAAAAGGUUACUUUUAGCUGAAUGUAUACCGUGU